UGGGGAAUUUUGGACAAUGGGGGAAACCCUGAUCCAGCCAUCCCGCGUGUGCGAUGAAGGCCUUCGGGUUGUAAAGCACUUUCGGCAGGAAAGAAACGUCGCGGGUUAAUACCCCGCGAAACUGACGGUACCUGCAGAAUAAGCACCGGCUAACUACGUGCCAGCAGCCGCGGUAAUACGUAGGGUGCAAGCGUUAAUCGGAAUUACUGGGCGUAAAGCGUGCGCAGGCGGUUCGGAAAGAAAGAUGUGAAAUCCCAGAGCUUAACUUUGGAACUGCAUUUUUAACUAUCCGGGCUAGAGUGUGUCAGAGGGAGGUGGAAUUCCGCGUGUAGCAGUGAAAUGCGUAGAUAUGCGGAGGAACACCGAUGGCGAAGGCAGCCUCCUGGGCAUAACACUGACGCUCAUGCACGAAAGCGUGGGGAGCAAACAGGAUUAGAUACCCUGGUAGUCCACGCCCUAAACGAUGUCAACUAGCUGUUGGGGCCUUCGGGCCUUGGUAGGCGCAGCUAACGCGUGAAGUUGACCGCCUGGGGAGUACGGUCG
rnacentral:rRNA from 1 species